GAUGAACGCUAGCUACAGGCUUAACACAUGCAAGUCGAGGGGUAGCACGGAGACAGUUUACUGUCUUGGGUGACGACCGGCGCACGGGUGAGUAACGCGUAUCCGACCUACCCAUAACUCGGGCACAGCCGCUCGAAAGAGUGAUUGAUUCCCGAUAUGUCCUUGGAGUAGAUUCAAUGAUGAAAGAUUUAUCGGUUAUGGAUGGGGAUGCGUAAGAUUAGGUAGUAGGCGGGGUAACGGCCCACCUAGCCGACGAUCUUUAGGGGUUCUGAGAGGAAGGUCCCCCACACUGGUACUGGGACACGGACCAGACUCCUACGGGAGGCAGCAGUGAGGAAUAUUGGUCAAUGGGCGGAAGCCUGAACCAGCCAAGUAGCGUGAAGGAUUACAGCCCUACGGGUUUUAAACUUCUUUUAUAUAAGAGUAAUGUGCACUACGUGUAGUGUAUUGCAAGUAUUAUAUGAAUAAGCAUCGGCUAACUCCGUGCCAGCAGCCGCCGUAAUAC
rnacentral:rRNA from 1 species